AGUUCUGAGAUGGAGAACCAGGCCAAGCUCUUCGAGGAAGAAAAAAGAUUAGGAAAUGAAUGACUUUGCUGGACCACACCCAGUGAAUCGCAGGUUGAAGAGCAAAGGAGCCAACCAAUCAUGGACUAAAACCUCAGCAACCGUUGAUUACCUCCCUGAUGUGCUACAGUGAUAGCAAACUGACUACUACAGAAUAGUUGGGAGAUUUGAGUAAAGAAUAAACAGAAGAAAAUUGACUCUGGGGGAAAAAUACAACAUGGAAUUAUCAGGCAAUCCAGAAUUUCACUGAAGGUUAAUGUUGUUUGAAAUUUUGUUAGCAGAAUGACUCUAUUUCCUUUUUCUUUUCUUUUCUUACUGCCAAAUUAUGGUAUAUUGAGGCACAGAGCGAUGAGGGGUUUGACUUAGCUCAUAAUAAACAUUUGUAAUAUGAGAAUAACAGGGCAAGACAUUCCAAAGUGAAAUGCUAGGUGAGGAAGAGAGGGUACUGAUAGACAAAAGAAGACAUGCCAAGUAAGGAGAAAAGUUAUAUGUGAUCGGAAGAAUGAAAAGAAGAAAAGGAGAAUCAAGUGGAUUGUAACUCCUAAAACGAUCAUUAAGAUUUAAGAGGCAGAGGUGAAAUCAGAGAAAUAGCAGUGAAGGCCAGGGUGUUCAAGACUGAUGCUGUGGCUGUGAUGAUGAACGCAGACCAAAGAUUGAAUUAAACCCGCAAAUUAUCGGUAAAACAUACCACACCACUGGAUGUGUCUGUGAGACUGUUCCUGGGAAGAUCAAGCAGCUAGUAAGUCCAGCUCUGAAUAUGGGUAAUACUAUCCCGUAAGCUAAGGGCUCCAAUAUGAUUAAAGACCUAAGGGAAAGGCUUAUGCAUGAAUUCUCUCACUAAAUCCUAACCAAUAUUAUUUGACCUGCUAUCCAGCACAUACCAUGCUAGAAUAAAAUCUCUUAAGCCACG
rnacentral:lncRNA from 1 species